rnacentral:misc_RNA from 1 species
UUUCCGUAGGUGAACCUGCGGAAGGAUCAUUCAUAAUAAAGUGUUUUAUGGCACUUUUUAAAAAUCCAUAUCCACCUUGUGUGCAAUGUUAGAUCUCGUCAAUCUUGGCGAGAUUUUUAUACAUCAACUCAUUCUUUAACUAAUUUGUCUGAAAAAUAUUAUGAAUACUUAAUUCAAAAUACAACUUUCAACAACGGAUCUCUUGGCUCUCGCAUCGAUGAUGAACGCAGC